GUGGCGCUUUCCCCACCGUGUUCCUAAACCCUCCGUCAAGCUCUCUUUGAAGUACCAGGGUGCCAUCUGUCUCCUACCAGAACCCUGACUGAUACGCAGCCUUAAUCUGCCCUCAGAGGCUGGACUGGGGGCCUGCUAUACCCUGUGAGAUGCUGGGCACCUGCCAGGAGUCCCUGUUAUUCAGCCUAUAGCGUAAUUCCACCAGUCACCUCUCUCUCCAGCCCAACCCACGUGGGCCCAGAGCUGUUCUAGGCACUUUACACUUAAUCAUCACACAAACAACAAGCCCACAGAUGGCACUGCUGCCUGUGUUUUCAGAAGAAGAAACUAACGCAGAUGAAGCUUUGCCCAAGUUCACACAGUGAGUUAGAGGAAGGGCCCUGUGAUUUGAACUCAAGUCUGGACUCCCAAGGCUGUGCCUUAAACAGCACCCCUGGGACUCCCGCUCUCCCUCCUCACAGGAAGGUGACAGGACCAGACGACACAGUGAGGGUGAAGUUGCCUUUGAAGACCCUGGAGCGCCAAGCUGCCAGGUUAGCCUGAGACCUGUGGUGCAUCCUGUCACUCCCCAGGACACCAGGCUGAGGGACGGAGCACUCAAGAGGGUCAGGGCUGGCAGGGGCCUCAGAGAUCACACAGCCUCACCCCUUCCUGGGCUGAGGGAGAAACAGCCUCAGAGAGAACAAGUGGUUCCCCUAAGGUCCUACCCUAGCUGUAGGAGCCAGAAUGAGAAUCCAGAAUGUCUUCAGAAACUCCGUAACCACGUCAGGGGCAAGGAUGGAGCAUUUGCCUUAGCGAGCAGCGCGGGAGAGAGAAGGGCUGGGGGUCGGGAGAGGGGGAAGCUGAGGGUUCCUGGACGAUAGAAAGUCAUAUUUGAAGGAUGCGAGGGCUCUCAGAGCCCAUCUAGAAGGCUUCUCUGCUGGUCACUCUGACAAGGGAGCUCUACUUGCUCACCUCCAGGGGUGGGAGGAAGCCUGUUCACGUGAGGGGCAGCCUGUCCCACAGUCCCCGUAAGCGAGGUCUGGAUCCUGUGAUCCUGUGACUCCCCAGUCCCCAAGCCCACUUGGUCCCAAGUCAUCUUCUUUUUUUUUUUUUAGGGCCACACCAGGCUAGGGGUCCAAUCGGAGCUGUAGCCACUGGCCUACGCAAUGCCACAGCCACAGCAAUGUGGGAUCUGAGUUGCGUCCAUGACCUACACCACAGCUCACGGCAAUGCUGGAUCCUUAACCCACUGAGCAAGGCCAGGGAUGGAACCUGAAUCCUUGUGGAUGCUAGUCGGGUUCCUUAACCGCUGAGCCAUUACAGGAACUCCCCCAGGUCUUCUUUCUAGGACUCCACAGACACGCCUGCCCCCUCUGCCGCAGAUGUGCAGGUCGUGCUCACAGCACACUUCCUCCCCCCUCCUCACUUCUGCUCUGCUGUGAAUCCCUGGGGCGCCUUCCCCCCUCCUCUCCAUCUGCCCAAAUCGCAUCUGCUUUCCAAAGCCCACCACAGCUUCAGCCUGUGCAGCCAUUUACCUACUUCUGAUAGGAGCAUCCACAUUUUCCUUAGGGAAUCACCUGCCCACCGAUUUUAUACGUAUGUAUUUGUUUGUUUGUUUUCAUUGAGGUAUAAUUGACAUGUAACACUAUGUUCGUUCGUUUCAGGUGUACAACAUAAUAACUUGAUAUUCGUAUACAUUGUGGAAUGAUGACCACAAUAAGUCUUAACAAUCACCCUUUUAUGAAUCCACAAAAAUUUUUUCCCUGUGAUGAGAAUUUCUAAGAUUUAUUCUUUUGGCAGCUUUCAGAUAUACAACACAGCAUAAUUAACUGCAGACACCAUGUUGUCCGUUAUAGCCCCAUGACUUCUUUCUUUUAUACCCAGAAGUUUGUGCCUUUUGCCCCCUUCACCCAUUUCUCCCACCAGUUCAUCUCUGUUUUGAAUAGAGAUGAAGCCCCUACCAGCUUCUGUAAUUGGUGCAGGAAUAGGCACUGGACCUGGUUCAGGAUAAUAAGAGUCUGACCCAGGACUUCUGUCAGAAGGAUUAUGGGGGAAAGAAGCUCUUUCUGCUGGAUUUAUUGACAAAAUAGAGAGUAUGCACAGAACUGGGCAGCUAUCUUGUUAUCUCAAGGUGGGAUCCUGCCUGAACAUGGAGCAGCAGUGAGAAAAGCAGAGCCCGACAAUGCAAAGAGAGCUUCCUGAAGACACCAUCUGAGCUCCUGGAUCCAGCCAUGCCUGAAGCUAGAUAUGUCAGGAUUUUACAAUUUUAUGAGUUGAUAAAUUCCCUUUUUUACUUAAAGUCAGUCUUAACUGUGUUUUCUGUCUGUUGCAACUAGGAUUUCUGAUUAAUAUACUCGCCUUCUUUGCAAACACUAAUUGUCACCAAACUUAGAGAAGUUCAAAAGAUUCAAAAGUCCAUAUUUAUACAACCAUGAACAGAUAUGCCCUCAUUAAUAGUUACUCUUUAUGGAAUACUUCCUGUUUGUCAGGUACAAAAGGGCACUGGAGUUCCCCUCGUGGCGCAGCAGAAAUGAAUUCAACUAGGAACCAUGAAGUUGCGGGUUCAAUUCCUGGCCUCACUCAGUGGGUUAAGGAUCUGGCAUUGCCAUGAGCUGUGGUGUAGGUCACAGACUUAGCUUGGAUCUGCUGUUGCUGUGGCUGUGGUGUAGGCCAGUGGCUACAGCUCCCAUUAGACCCCUAUGCCAUGGGUGCGGCCCUCAAAAAAGACAAAAAAAAAAAA
rnacentral:lncRNA from 1 species